UACGUAGGGGGCAAGCGUUGUCCGGAUUUAUUGGGCGUAAAGAGCGUGUAGGCGGCCAGACAGGUCUGCUGUGAAAACUCGAGGCUCAACCUCGAGACGCCGGUGGAAACCGUUUGGCUAGAGUCCGGAAGAGGAGAGUGGAAUUCCUGGUGUAGCGGUGAAAUGCGCAGAUAUCAGGGAGAACACCCGUGGCUAAGGCGGCUCUCUAGUACGGUACUGACGCUGAGACGCGAAAGCGUGGGGAGCGAACAGG
rnacentral:rRNA from 1 species